rnacentral:rRNA from 1 species
AUUGAUCGCUGGCGGCAGGCUUAACACAUGCAAGUCGAGCGGAGAUGAGGUGCUUGCACCUUAUCUUAGCGGCGGACGGGUGAGUAAUGCUUAGGAAUCUGCCUAUUAGUGGGGGACAACAUUCCGAAAGGAAUGCUAAUACCGCAUACGUCCUACGGGAGAAAGCAGGGGAUCUUCGGACCUUGCGCUAAUAGAUGAGCCUAAGUCGGAUUAGCUAGUUGGUGGGGUAAAGGCCUACCAAGGCGACGAUCUGUAGCGGGUCUGAGAGGAUGAUCCGCCACACUGGGACUGAGAGACGGCCCAGACUCCUACGGGAGGCAGCAGUGGGGAAUAUUGGACAAUGGGGGGAAACCUGAUCCAGCCAUGCCGCGUGUGUGAAGAAGGCCUUAUGGUUGUAAAGCACUUUAAGCGAGGAGGAGGCUACUGAGACUAAUACUCUUGGAUAGUGGACGUUACUCGCAGAAUAAGCACCGGCUAACUCUGUGCCAGCCGCCGCCGUAAAAC